UCAUUGUACUCCCAAAUCCCAAUCCUUCAUUUCACUUGUUUCACGUUUUCUUUUCUUUGUCUCCAUUGAAAAAGUGACGUCCUCCACUGUCGCUGCUGUCGCCGCCCCUCGCGUCGCACGAACUCCCUUCACCGCUCCUCUCAUCGCAUUUGCUCCCUUCGUCGCCAUUGUCGCACGAGCUCUCUCCGCCGUGCUCUUGUCUUACGAGCUCUCUCCGCCGCCGCUCUCGUCGCUGCUUCUUUUCUCCUCGCCGGAGGUUUGUAAUCGUCUCCUCUCGUCGCCAUUAGUUCAGUUGAAAACCGAACAAUACAAUUGAAGAGAGCUCUUAUGUUUGCAAAUCAGUUGUUGCUGCUACAAAGAAUGGAGUUUCUAAAUUCUAAGAUAGUGAAGGAAAUCGAGCAGGACCUAUCUGGAUUCAAGUGUGGCAUUGCUCAUCUCUUCUUGCAGCACGAGUGCUUUUCUUACUAACGAGAAUUAUGAUUCUGAUGUUCGUGAUGAUACUGAAACCUUCCUCAAUCGAAUUGUUCCUGAGGUUCAUACAUUUUUGUUAUUACUAUUCUCUUCUUAUUUUUAUGUUAAUAGUUAACUAUAAGUAUAGCAAUUCCAAGAACAUAACUUGUGGUGUGCAGUGUUCAUCGGCACCUUGGAAGCAUGCUCUAGAGGGUUAGUUGACUGUAAUUUAGUAUUUUUUUUUAAUUUAUUCUGUGAGUUUGGGUUUACAAGCUUAAGAUUGAGUUGCCGUGAUCUUGUAGAAUUAAUUUUGAUUAUUAGUGGGUUUAGUUUUAUGUGAUUUGCAUUUGGAAAUUUUUAUCCAAGUUCGGUCGACAAUGAAUGUUAUUUUAGAUGAUUUUGUGGUGAAAGAAAUAUGGGGAUUUCCGUUACAAAUUAUAGUUGGAGCUGUGUUUUGAAAUCUGAACAGACUUUUCCAGUUUUAGACAUUGAGCAUGCUAGGCACCAACCUUCUAUAAUGUGAUUUUUUGUCUUGUAAGUUAUUCAUGCUUCCUUCUAGUGUGCAAAACUUUUUCCUUUAGCUGCACUAGUAUACAGAAUUUCUAAUCAAUGAUUAGCAGCUAAGAACUCAUCUUCUAACACCAGAACUUCUAAUCAAUGAUUAGCUGUUGUAUCCUUGAAUUAUUUUAAUGAAUAUUUAAAAAUAAAUAUAAAUGAUAGUUGGACUGCUAAGUUAUCAAAGAGAGUGUGCUUAUAGGCCUUUAUAUUGGAUUCAGAGCAUGAAGCUCAUGUUUCAGAUUUUGGGACUGCUAAGUUUCUCAAGCCUGGUUCAUAUAGUUGGACAACAAUUGCUGGUACUUUUGGCUAUGCUGCUCCAGGUACUAAAUGCACUCAGGAGCAUUUGUGAGCAAGUUUGUCAAUUUAGACUUAAAGUAUUAUAUAAGGUUCUUGAAUUGGAUGCCGGCAGCAUUGCAAAUGCCGAAACCAGAACUAAUUGACCAUGCAGGCCUGGAUUCCGCUGUAUACUUGAGGAUAUACUUGAUCGGGUACUUGUUAGGAAUGUACCACCUGAUCCUGAUGAAUCAGUUAGUGAGCUAGUGGAGCAUUUCUUCUCGGUCAACCAUCCAGACCACUAACUAUCUCACUCAUCAGGUCCGAUCCUAAAUUUUCACCACCACCAUUGGUUACUUAUAUCUUGUUGUUUUGUGUUUAAAUGGAAUUUUCAUGCCUAGUAUAAAUAGCAAGAUUAAGAUAUUUCUAAAAGAGAUAGAUAUGAUGAUAAUCUAAAGUUUGCAACAAUUUAAAUUCAAUUUAUGUUACAGGAUUGUCACACCAUAAUUGCAGUGUGGCUUCAACAUUUAUAUCUAUAUCCAAAUUGCUUUGUUAUUCUUUUGACUUACAGUGCAGUUAUAUUUAUAUGUAGGUUAUUUACAAUGCAAAGAAACUUUCUAGCCUAGUUGCUAAGAAGAAGAAAAAGCAGAACUGGCUUGACCAUAGUUGAAAAACUAUUGAUUAUUUUAGUACCUAUAAAUCAUAUAAAUUAUUCUAAAAACAAAAUAGGUUAUUUUCUUGUCUUAAAUAUUAUUCAACAAGAUUAUUUUCUUAUAUCAUAGUAUCCUUCAAAUGGAGUUUUGCCUCAAUCCCCUAUGCACACCAAGAGCCUGGCUGUUCUCAAGAAACAGGUAGGUGAAUGUGCUUUGGAAUUUGGAAUUGGUAGCAGCAAGUUUUAUUAAUGAAUCUGAGAUUUGAUAUUAUAAUUUUUUAUUGUAGUUGAUAAGAAGAAAAAUGGUUAAAAGUGCCAUUUUACAUUUAAAAGUCUUAUUAAUGAAUCUCUAUUUCCUUGCUAAUUCCAAUUUGUUUGGUCCAAUUUCCUAAAUUCAAUCUUCGCCUUCCAUGCAAUUGGACAGUACUAUGAUAGUGUUUCUGCCACCUAGGGAAUCGAAAUGCUUCCCACGCUUCCCUUUCUCCUAGCGUUUCGUCUAAUUUUGAUUCCAACUAAUCGUUGUUUACGCUUUUUACAGGGUGUAGUAAUGGUUGAUCCUCCUGUCUAAUAAUCACAACAAUAGCAAAAAAUGCAUUUUGAAGGGAACUCAUAUUGAGAAGUAGUGAAAUAGCAACCUUUGAUGCCAUCUUCAAUUUUAGGUUUCAUCUACAGCUAUUACUAAAUGGAAAUGUUGCAGGAAGCUAAUGAAGAAUCAAAAGCCGUUACAAAAGCAUCUGCUAUGAAAGGUAUCUUAGGAAAGUGGGAAACCACACCUUAAAAGCUAGUUGUUACAAAAGUGUGAGAUGUUGCAGGAAGCUAAUGAAGAAUCAAAAGCCGUUACAAAAGCAUCUGCUAUGAAAGCUAUCAAGAAGAGGAUGGAGAAGGAUAUUGAUAAAGUUGGAAAGAUUGCACAUGGUGUCAAAACAAAAGUAGAAGCUGUAAACAGAGAUGUAAUGAGACGAAGAUAAUGACUUGAUGCAUAACUUAGUAUAAUUGAACAAUACAUUGAGUUUAUGUUUUGAAUAAUAGUUGAUGUAUGGUUGUUACUUAUUAUUAUAGUUGAUCUAUCAAUACAUUUUGUUUAUGUUUUGAAUUA